rnacentral:lncRNA from 1 species
AAGAGCCCUCUGCACUAGCGCCGCAGGACCGCGGACCCGAGUUGGAGGCAUCUGUCCACCCAUGUGGUUCCAGACACGUUCAUGUGGCCACCAUGACCCCGUCGGCAUCACAGGAGUAACCAAGGUGAUCCUCCCUCUCUUCCUGUGUCUACUGGGGAUGGUAGAGACCAGCUUAAUGCUUUGAGAUCAGAUCCAUCACGAAAUCCGUAUGUCCUGAGACCUCCUGAAUCUUAAGGUCCACAGAGCGAGGGGAAAGGGUCACUGUGGAUCAAGCCAGGCUCCUCUGAGCAGUCCAGGAUCUAUUUACAGAGAGCAGCAAGUUCCUGGGACAGAGGAGACAGAAGGGAAUUUCCAGGUUCUUCAGGACGUUCACAACCACACUGAGAAGCAUCUUUGCAGAUAAGUAUUUAAACUUACCAGCCCAUAGCCUACCAGCCUGCCCUCUUCUGGUCUGUGCAGGAAAGUGUAGUAUCCUAGAAUACCAAAGUGGGAGGGGAAAUGGGUGAUGUAGCUCAUUCUCUUUUCUACCUCUAUGGAAGAAAGAAAGAGCCUGUCCCCAUUUUGUGGGGUCC